UAGGGAAUCUUCCACAAUGGACGAAAGCCUGAUGGAGCAACGCCGCGUGUGUGAUGAAGGCUUUCGGGUCGUAAAGCACUGUUGUAUGGGAAGAACAGCUAGAAUAGGAAAUGAUUUUAGUUUGACGGUACCAUACCAGAAAGGGACGGCUAAAUACGUGCCACCAG
rnacentral:rRNA from 1 species